GCCACCAUGAGGUGCUGUGGCAUGGCUGGCCUCAGGCUGGGAGCAGAUACGUGGCACUGCCACGAUCAUGCUUGGAGGCUCUGGUCAGGAGACUGGCCCUCUCUGAGCUUCCUGUACACUGAGGUGAUAUUUCUUUCUCAAUGGAUGCCAGAAGGAAAAUAUAUUCAUGCUUGGAAGGGGUCUCAUGCUGCAUUUGAAUGGGAAGUGAUUAAUUCAACUAUUAAUUAAGUUAUUCAUUUGGAUGCUUUCCAGUGUGCCAAAGAAGUUUCAGUAGUAACUACAACAACAAAAAAGAUUUUUUAAUCUGGAUUUUUUACGGAGCUUUAGGAGGAAUUUUUUUUGAAGAACCUCCAACAGCAUGAGCAAGCAGCUAACAUUUGCCUUUCCAAUCAUGUACUUUCGGAGAGUACAAGGAGACGAUGAGACAGGACAGGAAGGAGAGGACCUGGAGGAAAGCCUAGAACAAACACCGGAGGAGCAUGUACUAUUGCUAACAUGGCUGAGCAGAACAGAGAAAGUGGUUUGGUGGGCAAUGGAGAUGACGAGGUUUGAGUUCCUGUGGCUUGGAGUCUCAUGGAAAAGGGAAGUGCCCCUCCCCUCCUCUGCCUUCUUCUCCCUCCACGUUAUGAACAAGGGCUAAAUGCUGGAUGGUCUCACCAUGUCUUUCCCAUAGUGCCCAGUGGACCACAGCCUGCUUGUGAAGUAGCCAGAAAUGACAAGAAAGAACUUGGCCCUACAUCCUUCCAAGACACUUUUUGAGUUUUCUCUUUUAUACAUCAGGCAUUAUAAAUUAGAGACAGAAGAGUAUCAGAGCUUCCAUAAGAAUCCUCUUCCAUUUUAGUAGAAUUUUACUCAGACUUUACCUUCCACCAGGAAUAUAUGGUUUAUUACAUUUUACCCAGACAAAUGAGAGAAACGCUUUAAGUCUGACCUUUCCUGAUAUUCCAUGAACAUCUAACUACUUCCAUGUUUAAGAUAAAAUGGCUUCUUUCAAGUAUACAGGACAAGAAUAUAUCAUGGUUCUUGUGUCUCAUCACAAUUUAUAUGAAGAAGUAGAAGGAAAUAGCAUCCUGACAACUGAAUACAAUGAACAGAUGCUGCGGCAUGUUCUGCAGGAUUGCCUCAGCUUGCACUAUGAGUUUUGCUUGUGGAAACUGAAAUGUAGCACAAUUUGUGGAUGGGGAACAGUGAGAAUUAAUAACUAAAUCAGACAAGGCUGUAACCCUUACCAUCUCAGAAAAAGAAAAUGUGCGUGCACACGGCUUUUGGAAAUUGCAGG
rnacentral:lncRNA from 1 species